rnacentral:tRNA from 1 species
GGUUAUGGCUCAGUGGAAGAGCACUCGCCUAGUAUAUGCAAGGCCCUGGGUUGGAUCCUCAGCACCA